CUAUUACAGCGGACCACGUAACACUUACUGGGACAUCAUCUCCAUCAAACACAACAGGGAAUUCCUUUACCAAUGCAGCCAUUUCAGCUUUGACAGAGAACAGCACGGCACUUACUGGGACAUCAUCUCCAGCAAACGCAACAGAGAACAGCACAACAGUUAAUAGGCCAUCACUUCCAUGGGACAGAACAG